rnacentral:tRNA from 1 species
CUGGCUGUAGCGAAGUCUGGUAUCGCACCAGGUUUGGGACCUGGGGAUCGUUGGUUCAAAUCCAACCAGCCAGACCA